UAGUCCACGCCGUAAACGAUGAUCACUCGUUGUAUGCUUAUAUUUAGUAUGCGACCGAGCGAAAGUAUUAAGUGAUCCACCUGGGGAGUACGUCGGCAACGAUGAAACUCAAAGGAAUUGACGGGGGCCCGCACAAGCGGUGGAACAUGUGGUUUAACUCGAUGAUACGCGAGGAACCUUACCUGGGCUUAAAUGUAGAACGAUUUUUGCUGAAAGGCAAUUUCCCUUCGGGGCGAUCUACAAGGUGCUGCAUGGUUGUCGUCAGCUCGUGCCGUGAGGUGUCGGGUUAAGUCCCAUAACGAGCGCAACCCCUAUUGUUAGUUACCAGCGGAUAAUGCCGGGGACUCUAGCGAGACUGCCACCGUAAGGUGAGAGGAAGGUGGGGAUGACGUCAAAUCAGCACGGCCCUUAUGUCCAGGGCUACACACGUGUUACAAUGGCCGGUACAGAGGGCAGCUACCUGGUGACAGGAUGCAAAUCUCCAAAAACCGGUCUCAGUUCGGAUCGGAGUCUGCAACUCGA
rnacentral:rRNA from 1 species